rnacentral:rRNA from 1 species
UAGCCAUACGAGUCGAGAGGUGUAAGACCUCGGCAUACUGCUCAGUAACACGUGGUUAACCUGCCCUAAGGUGGAGAAUACUCCCGGGAAACUGGGGUUAAUGCUCCAUAGUGGAUAUGUCCUGGAAUGGUAUAUCCUCGAAAGAUCCGUCGCCUUAGGAUGGGACUGCGUCCGAUUAGGUUGUUGGCGGGGUAACGGCCCACCAAGCCAUUGAUCGGUACGGGUUGUGGGAGCAAGAUCCCGGAGAUGGAUUCUGAGACAUGAAUCCAGGCCCUACGGGGCGCAGCAGGCGCGCAAACUUUACAAUGCGAGCAAUCGUGAUAAGGAAACCCUGAGUGCCUGUCGAUGCAGGCUGUUCAUAUAUCUAAAUCAUAUGUGAAGAAAGGGCAGGGCAAGACCGGUGCCAGCCGCCGCGGUAAUACCGGCUGCUCGAGUGAUGGCCACUAUUACUGGGCUUAAAGCGUCCGUAGCUUGACUGUUAGGUCCCUUGGGAAAUCUUCGCGCUUAACGUGAAGGCGUCUAAGAGAUACCGGCAGUCUUGGAACUGGGAGAGGUAAACCGUACUUCGGGGGUAGGAGUGAAAUCUUGUAAUCCUCGAGGGACGACCUAUGGCGAAGGCAGUUUACCAGAACAGCUUCGACAGUGAGGGACGAAAGCUGGGGGAGCAAACGGGAUUAGAUACCCCGGUAGUCCCAGCCGUAAACAAUGUGCGUUAGGUGUGUCGGUAACCACGCGUUACUGAUGCGCCGAAGAGAAAUCGUGAAACGCACCACCUGGGAA